AUGAGUGGUGAUUGGUUUGUUACGGGUGGUUGGCUCUUUGCUUGUGCAACAACUUCCACCUGGCAUACCUCCUCAGUUAUGCGUCAAGGCUUGUAUUGUCUUGAGUGUAUUGUGGGUUUCUUGUGUUGCAUACCUAAUUGAUGGUAUUGUUUUGGUUGAUCAAAGUCCCUUUUCAUCUUGUGUUGCAUUUGUGACGCAUGAUGAACCUCGAAGUGGUCUCUAUGUUCCAUUAUGUUGAUGUAAAUGCAUUGAUGUUGUGGCCCAUUGAGCUUUGCUUGGUAUCCUGGAUACGGAACAUUAUGUGGGCAUGGGGUCUCUCAUGACUCUUGUUUUGUCCUCGUUCAGUGUUCUUUAAAAUGACGGUUCAUGUGCGCCUAGGCUUGUACCUGCGUGAUGUUCUUUGUCGAAGAGGAAUGC
rnacentral:misc_RNA from 1 species